UAGGGAAUCUUCCGCAAUGGACGAAAGUCUGACGGAGCAACGCCGCGUGAGUGAAGAAGGCUUUCGGGUCGUAAAACUCUGUUGUUAGGGAAGAAAAAAUGUAUAGUAACUAUAUACAAAAGAGACGGUACCUAACCAGAAAGCCACGGCUAACUACGUGCCAGCAGCCGCGGUAAUACGUAGGCGGCAAGCGUUGUCCGGAAUUAUUGGGCGUAAAGCGCGCGCAGGUGGUUUAGAAAGUCUGAUGUGAAAGCCCACGGCUCAACCGUGGAGGGUCAUUGGAAACUAAUAAACUUGAGUGCAGGAGAGAAAAGUGGAAUUCCUAGUGUAGCGGUGAAAUGCGUAGAGAUUAGGAGGAACACCGGUGGCGAAAGCGGCUUUUUGGCCUGCAACUGACACUGAGGCGCGAAAGCGUGGGGAGCAAACAGG
rnacentral:rRNA from 1 species